rnacentral:rRNA from 1 species
CAGUGAUGGCUGGCAGGCCUAACACAUGCAAGUCGAGCGCACCUUCGGGUGAGCGGCGGACGGGUUAGUAACGCGUGGGAAUAUGCCCUUUGGUACGGAAUAGCCUCUGGAAACGGAGAGUAAUACCGUAUGUGCCCUUCGGGGGAAAGAUUUAUCGCCAAAGGAUUAGCCCGCGUUGGAUUAGGUAGUUGGUGGGGUAAUGGCCUACCAAGCCUACGAUCCAUAGCUGGUUUGAGAGGAUGAUCAGCAACACUGGGACUGAGACACGGCCCAGACUCCUACGGGAGGCAGCAGUGGGGAAUCUUAGACAAUGGGGGAAACCCUGAUCUAGCCAUGCCGCGUGAGUGACGAAGGCCCUAGGGUCGUAAAGCUCUUUCGCCAGGGAAGAUAAUGACUGUAGCAGGUAAAGAAACCCCGGCUAACUCCGUGCCAGCAGCCGCGGUAAUACGGAGGGGGUUAGCGUUGUUCGGAAUUACUGGGCGUAAAGCGCGCGUAGGCGGAUUAUUAAGUGAGGGGUGAAAUCCCGGGGCUCAACCCCGGAACUGCCUCUCAUACUGGUAGUCUUGAGUUCGAGAGAGGUGAGUGGAAUUCCGAGUGUAGAGGUGAAAUUCGUAGAUAUUCGGAGGAACACCAGUGGCGAAGGCGGCUCACUGGCUCGAUACUGACGCUGAGGUGCGAAAGUGUGGGGAGCAAACAGGAUUAGAUACCCUGGUAGUCCACACCGUAAACGAUGAAUGCCAGACGUCGGGCAGUAUACUGUUCGGUGUCACACCUAACGGAUUAAGCAUUCCGCCUGGGGAGUACGGUCGCAAGAUUAAAACUCAAAUGAAUUGACGG